GGGAUAAGUGCUGAAAGCAUCUAAGCAUGAAGCCCCCCUCAAGAUGAGAUUUCCCAACUUCGGUUAUAAGAUCCCUCAAAGAUGAUGAGGUUAAUAGGUUCGAGGUAGAAGCAUGGUGACAUGUGGAGCUGACGAAUACUAAUCGAUCGAAGACUUAAUCAA
rnacentral:rRNA from 1 species